rnacentral:rRNA from 1 species
GACGAACGCUGGCGGCGUGCCUAAUACAUGCAAGUUGAGCGCUGAAGGUUGGUACUUGUACCAACUGGAUGAGCAGCGAACGGGUGAGUAACGCGUGGGGAAUCUGCCUUUGAGCGGGGGACAACAUUUGGAAACGAAUGCUAAUACCGCAUAAAAACUUUAAACACAAGUUUUAAGUUUGAAAGAUGCAAUUGCAUCACUCAAAGAUGAUCCCGCGUUGUAUUAGCUAGUUGGUGAGGUAAAGGCUCACCAAGGCGAUGAUACAUAGCCGACCUGAGAGGGUGAUCGGCCACAUUGGGACUGAGACACGGCCCUAACGCCUACGGGAGGCAGCAGUAGGGAAUCUUCGGCAAUGGACGAAAGUCUGACCGAGCAACGCCGCGUGAGUGAAGAAGGUUUUCGGAUCGUAAAACUCUGUUGGUAGAGAAGAACGUUGGUGAGAGUGGAAAGCUCAUCAAGUGACGGUAACUACACAGAAAGGGACGGCUAACUACGUG